rnacentral:rRNA from 1 species
UGCGUAGGCGGUUAACUAAGUCACGUGUGAAAUCUUCUGGCUCAACCAGAAAACUGCGCGUGAAACUAAUUGACUUGAGUGAGGUAGGGGUGUGUGGAACUUCCGGUGGAGCGGUGAAAUGUGUAGAGAUCGGAAGGAACGCCAGCAGCGAAAGCGGCACACUGGGCCUUUUCUGACGCUGAGGCACGAAAGCUAGGGGAGUGAACGGGAUUAGAUACCCCGGUAAUCCUAGCCGUAAACACUGAACACUGGAGGACGGGGGCUUCGGCCUUCGUUCUCGUAGCGAAAGCGUUAAGUGUUCCGCCUGGGGAGUAUGGUCGCAAGGCUGAA